rnacentral:ncRNA from 1 species
GAUUCUCUGGAGAGUCUCGAAAAGAGCGCCGAAGGUGUACGCAUAGAUAAUAUUUGUUUAUGUAAUCUCUCAGGCAAAAGGACAGAGCAGA